CCUACGGGCGGCAGCAGUGGGGAAUAUUGCGCAAUGGGCGAAAGCCUGACGCAGCGACGCCGCGUGAGGGAUGAAGGUCUUCGGAUCGUAAACCUCUGUCAGCAGGGAAGAACGGUCACUGUGCUAAUCAGCAGUGAAUUGACGGUACCUGCAAAGGAAGCACCGGCUAACUCCGUGCCAGCAGCCGCGGUAAUACGGAGGGUGCGAGCGUUAAUCGGAAUUACUGGGCGUAAAGCGCUCGUAGGCGGUAUGUCAAGUCAAGGGUGAAAUCCCCGCGCUCAACGUGGGAACGGCCUUGGAAACGGGCAAACGGGGUUGUGUGGAAGGAUGGUGGAAGUGCAGGGGAAGGAGUGAAAGCCGAAGAUAUCUGGAGGAACAUCAGUGGCGAGGGCGACUAUCGGGCACAUAACGGACGCUGAGGAGCGAAAGCGUGGGUAGGAAACAGGAUUAGAUACCCGGGUAGUC
rnacentral:rRNA from 1 species